rnacentral:rRNA from 1 species
CCUACGGGUGGCAGCAGUGGGGAAUAUUGCACAAUGGGGGAAACCCUGAUGCAGCGACGCCGCGUGAGUGAAGAAGUAUUUCGGUACGUAAAGCUCUAUCAGCAGGGAAGAAAAUGACGGUACCUGACCAAGAAGCCCCGGCUAACUACGUGCCAGCAGCCGCGGUAAUACGUAGGGGGCAAGCGUUAUCCGGAUUUACUGGGUGUAAAGGGAGCGUAGACGGCAGUGCAAGUCUGGAGUGAAAUGCCGGGGCCCAACCCCGGAACUGCGUUGGAAACUGUGCAGCUGGAGUGCAGGAGAGGUAAGCGGAAUUCCUAGUGUAGCGGUGAAAUGCGUAGAUAUUACGCAGAACGCCGAUUGCGAAGGCAGCUUACCGGCGCUCAACUGACGCUGAGGCACGGAAGUGCGGGUAUCGAACAGGAUUAGAUACCCGAGUAGUC